AUUGAAACGGACCGGUUGUGGUAUCUUUUUUUUUUGAUUUUCAUAUAACCUAACCGUGUAUGCCGAAAACGUUUAUUAUUUUUUUGGGGGUAAUCGGAGGAGAAGCUAAAAAUGCGCGUUUUAAUACAUUUGGCGUAACGAUAGAUUUGAAUGACCGCUGCCUCAUCUGCCGAAAAGCCUGCGCGCACUUAUCAAAAUAUGUAUACAAGUCUCUGUGAAAAUUAACUUAUCUUAUAAUUUACACGCGUACACGAAACACGCAAAUAAUUCUAAAUUUAUGACAAACUACACGUAUUUAAAUAAAACGCUUAGACUUUCGUUUUCAUAUUAAUAAAGAAAACAAAUGUAAUACACUCGACGUCACUAUAAUGCCAUAGGUACGACGCGAUGAAGUACUGACAUAAUAAUACGGACUUUAAUUUUAAAUAAAUUCGUUUAAAAAAAAGUUGUUUUACGGGUAGUUUUUUUUUUUUUUUAAUUCUGGUAUACCUACUCAACUUUAUCAUAUUUACGCUGUUGUUCGGUCUAUUAUUUUCAAGUUGAUACUAUUGAUUGUAACCAUCUCCAGUGGCGUAAUUUGGGCUACGUUUUGGAGGCCAAUUUUUUGAAAAUUAUAUAAAAAAGGAUGCUACGCAUUUAUUAGCUAAGACUUAUUAUCAAGGGCGACAUACAUUUUCGAAGAAUAAAGGUCAUUGUGAAUAUAAUAUACAUUUAAACAGUUAGUAGAUAAUCGGUAAAUAGAGUUAUGCAUACAAUAACUGCAGAUUUAUGACGGACCUUAUACACUCUUCUUGGCUUCGGAGCCAUUUCAUUACGCCCUCUGGACAUCUAUCGGUACGCACAUUUCUACGGACUGUCAGCACAGCCAAUUCAUUUAAUUGAUUUUAAAUUAACAAAAUCUCUAUUAAUUAAGUACGUAUUGUUUGUACGGCGUCCUAAUUUUCAAUUAUAAGUACCACUGAAAUCGUAUUCUCCGUGUACGUUUUGAUUCCCUUUAAAGUCGAGAACGAUCGUUCGUGCGUAGUAAUUGAUAUAGUAAUUAGUACUCAUACUUGAAUAAUAAAAAAAAAAAAUGCAUAUAUAAAUCCUUAUUAUGUAAAUCCAGUGCACCGAUCUGCAGUCUUAGGUAUGUAAAACGUGAUUUGACCACGAUGACGGCGAGGGCGGUCGGGAAUCGGGUCACGUUUUAUCUACCUGCUUCGUAAAUAAUAUUUUGGUAAAUUUUAUUACCCGGGUAUCCGGCCACAAAUGUAUAACAAAAAAAUAUAUAAUUUUAAAUAUAUUAAAAUAUAUACCUAAUAUAAAAUUAGUCAAAUAAUUAUUUAUUUAUUUUUUGAAAUAAUGUGAUACAGAUUGCUUUGCAUAGUAUUCAAAAGUGCCGUCAACAUACGUCGAUUAUAACGAACAUAAGAAAUUUAAAUUUGUAGUUAGUUUGUAUUCUAACGAUUCGUAUGGUCCUUUUAAUGGCGUUGGUUUUUCACAGAGUUCCUAAAUAAUAACACGCGUGUAAUAAUGCGGUCUAGGACAAUUUAUUGUCGUCGCAGUUUUAACGUAAAGCCACUUCGUUGUUGUUAAAAAAAAAAUAAUAAUAAAAAAUACCCGAUUAAAAACAAUCCAAUUCCAGAUAUGCGUAAUACAGUUAGUAUAAUAUUUUGUUACGAAGAUAAUAACAUCUAUUGUAUUCAUGUAGGCGUGCGCAGGAUUCUCAAUCAGCUGCAGUAUAAAUUGUAGCAUAUAUCAAUAAGUACCUAAGUAGUGAGUAGGUACCUCUGAAUGAGAAUAUGUUUUUUUUUUAACAAAUAAAUUUUCAUGAAAUAUACCGCUAAUUU